rnacentral:lncRNA from 1 species
CUGAUUCCUCGUGCAGUUCUGCAGCCAAAGGAGAUCAGACAGCCAUUGACCACGGCCUGGUUGGAUAUGUAGGGCCAUCUCAUAUUGCAUGAGGACUCCAUGAUGAAUGCAGUUUGAAUCCAUCUGGAUAUCACAAAGUUUUAGUGCACAAACUUUUACUGCAAGUGUGAGAUAUUAAGCAACAGCAAAGAGCAGAAACAAUGCUUUCCUUGACUCGUGGAGUUACACAGCAUCAGUUUUUUUUGCUGCCCUUGCCAAAGCUGAAGUAAUCAGUGGAACAGGUUCAAAUGCUCAAAUGAUCAUCUUGUGUGCAGCUGACCUGGAUGUCACUGUGGACAGCUUAAGUUUUACUUUUGUAGGCCUAGCUGAAAGCAGCAGUUCUGCAGAUGAGAUGCUUUUGAAAAUGAUGACAGUGUUUUUGUCAGAGGUACAUAUUUUUUUAGAGUAAUUGUGACUAACUUGAUUGAUUUUGAAUGCUUCUUUUUUCACAUUAAUCAUUCUUCCCUCCCCCCUCCACAAAAAUACCCAAAUCCAAAAUCCUGUUGAUUAGGACUGG